rnacentral:rRNA from 1 species
UAAGGAAUAUUGGUCAAUGGACGAAAGUCUGAACCAGCCAUGCCGCGUGGAGGAUGAAGGUCCUCUGGAUUGUAAACUUCUUUUAUCUGGGACGAAAAAAGGGUUUUCUAACUCACUUGACGGUACCAGAUGAAUAAGCACCGGCUAACUCCGUGCCAGCAGCCGCGGUAAUACGGAGGGUGCAAGCGUUAUCCGGAUUCACUGGGUUUAAAGGGUGCGUAGGCGGGCAUGUAAGUCAGUGGUGAAAUCUCCGGGCUUAACUCGGAAACUGCCAUUGAUACUAUAUGUCUUGAGUACAGUUGAGGUAGGCGGAAUGUGUCAUGUAGCGGUGAAAUGCUUAGAUAUGACACAGAACACCGAUUGCGAAGGCAGCUUGCUAAGCUGUAACUGACGCUGAGGCACGAAAGCGUGGGGAGCAAACA